AUUUUAAUAAUAUAAAAUUAAACAAAAAAUGAUGGAUGAGAUAUAAAAUAUUAUCAAAUCUUUAUUAUUAGAAUCACUAAUUGUCAUAUAUAUAUUAGUCAUAUUUGGUAAUCUCGUAGUUUUUAUUUAAGGAAAGAAAAGAAAAUAGUAAGUGUACACUUUAAUUAAUUUUAUGAUUAGUUUAAUGAAAAGUAUAAUAUAUGCUUAAUUGGACCAAAUUAUUUUAUAAGGAUUUUGAAUUUCAUUCUGGUGAUGACACGUGGCUACACUUAAAGAUUGUAAUGUUUCUUAAUUAAUAUAUAAAGGAUAUAUGUUAGUGUUUAAUUCUGUAAUUGCAAAGUGUUACUUUAUAGAUUCAAAAAUUAUUAAAAAUAUAUUAAUUGUAAAGUUGUGUUUAAUACGAAUUCGGCACAUACGUAUUGAAGACACAAUUCGAUGGUGGGUGUUUAAAAGACACUUGUUUAAUGAUUAAAAAGUAACUACAAAAGACUAAAAUAUCGUAAGAGAUGAUCAACUCGGCAAGAACAAGAUUAGCUAUGUACACCCUAAUCUUUUACCGACUUGUGUGCAUUUUUGAAUGUCUUUUCUUCAUCCUUUACAUUCUCCUUUUAUAGCUGACUGCCUUCCUUAUUUUCUCCAAAUCUAUUCUCUUGCCGAGUUCAAUUACCUUGAUGGAUCUUGUUCGGAGGAUGUAAUCUAUCUCCAACAAAUUGUUGUAACUUUGUUAGUGAGUAAGUGUAAAUGAUAGCAAGCCAGGACACAUAAAGAAUCAACCUCCAUUUUUUCCUUUUUUUUUCAGCCAGUGGAUGAAGCCAUGGAGGCUGCCAUAGCGCCAUCUUCGGUCGGGCUCUUGUAUUUUUUGUCUUCUCUUUUAUGUCUAGUUUUUUAUGCAUGUAGAUGUUUUGAUGCAAAUGCGUCUUAUGUCAGAACUAUUUGAUUCUGGGUGAUUGUGGAGCUUGUGGUCCCAUAUCUUUUUGAUAUUUUGAGUGGGGUUUGUCUCCAAUUACCAACUUAAUUUUUUCUGAUCAAGAUCUUGUGACAAAUAUGUCUUUCGCCGGAUUCUAAUCUUGUGGGGUCUAGCGAGUCUUCUAGCUUCAAUAGUCUAUUUUCAGUUUGGUUUCCGCCUGGUUCGAUCUAUCCCCUUCUCAUCUCAUCAAAAUAUAGUUAUCUUCAAUGUGCUUCUAUUCAUGUAUUUUUUUUUUAAAUUCCGAGAUCGGUAACUGUUCGAUUUUUUAUGAAAUCCAUUGAUUAUUUUUGUUUUCGGUUCCGUUCAGGUAACAUGGUUAGGAACUGGGUAAUAUCCCUUAAAUUUCUGUUCCAAUUUGUUUCUGGUUCAUUUUCAGUUUUCUAGGUAACUUAGAUAAAUUUAAAUAUUUCGAAUAAAAACUGUUUGGGUAAUUCAAUUCUUUCAGAAUAAUUUUAAAUAUUUUGGAUAAAAAUAGUCAGAUAAGUUUUUUUUCUCGGUAGUUCGGUUUAUAAGUAGUAUUUAAAAAAUAUUUGGUAAUAUUCAAAUUAAAUAGAAUUGACAUUUUAAAAUAUAUAAAUUGUAUUUUAGAUAUUCCGAUGUCCAUUCGGUUAUGGUUUGGUUUCUGUUUUUUUUUUUUUGGUUUUAUAAAUAUAGAAACAACUCUUUUAUUUGUGAACAUCAGUCUGGUUCUGGAUUCAUUCUUUUUGUUCGGUUCCAGUUUGGUUUUUGAUUCUCGGUUUAUAUGCACAUACUUUUUAUGAAGCAUUAGUUUAACACGUUGAAAGGUAUUGUGUGCUUCUAUGGAGGAGGACUUCAUUUCUGUUGUUUGGAUAUCUGCUUCUUCAGUAAUUGUUAUGUGGAAUGAUUUCUACGACCUUUGAAGUAUGCUAUUCCAAAAACAAGAACAAAAUAUUGACAAUUUUAAUGCAGACAUGACGAUAUAUAACAGGAAAAAACAGGAAAAAUAACUACUAAUUAAGGACAAAUAUAGAAAACAAAACAUGUAUAUAUAUUGUCCGACUGGUGACCAUUCUGGAAACAAGAGGAACAAAUAGAAAAUGAACGAAUAGGAAUAAAAUUGUAGGAAUGAAAAUGAAUGGUUGUUCCAUCCCAUAUUUAACAAGGAAUCAUUUUGGCUCUAAAUGGUGACCAAUGGUAAUCAUUAAAACAAGCAAAACAAUAUAUAGUUGUAAAUUAGUUAAAUUGGACGAUCAUAACACCCCCCACAUUAGGCCUGAGACUUAUUAUCCGAUAUCUGGAUUCGAUCCGAGAUCUGCUCCGGAUCCGCUUCAAAAAUAGGAUAUCUGGGGUGCCCAGAUCCGAAUCCGGAUAGUAAAAUCUUGGAUCCGUCCAAACCGAAUCCGAAUAUCUUAAUUUUUAGGUCCAGAUAUCCGGAUCCGGAUCCGUAUUUUUAAAACAUUAAAUUUUUAAUUUAAUUAAUAUUUAUAUUUGAUAUAUUAAUAUUUUUACAUGAAUUAAUCUCAUAAUAUUAUAUUUUAGUUUUUACAAUAUGUUUAGCAAGUCUCUCCAAACCGGAGACAAACACUUUUCACUAUGAAUCAAAUAGAUUACAAGCCUCGCACUAGUUGCGUGUUCUAUGGACGAUUAUAUGUUUAUGUGUCUAACAAUGAGAGCCUAGACACCUAUUUAUACAAAAUUGUCUAAUGUGAUUUCUUGUUGUAAAUGGAAUAACAUGUUUAUCCUAAGUUUAUAAGGUUUUAUAAAAAAAUUUGGAUAAGGAUGAAACUAACCAAAUCUUUUUAAUUCUUCAGGUCUUGUACGAAGCUCAGUAGCCGGCCAGAAUGACCCAAGAGACAUCAAGGCCUCACAUUCUCCAUCUUGACUCUUUGGUCAUUCCUUGGCUUCUCGGUUUCUCCAUCUCUCUCUCUCUCUCUACGAAAAGAAACCCAAAGCUCCGACGAGCUCGCCGCCUCGUUUUCUCCGACGCACCACCUGUUCCUCGACACCGUCUUUAUGGGAGACGUAUGCGUUCUCCGAUCCUUGCUUCUCUUCUCUUUUUGAACACUUCCUCUCUUCGAUUCUCUGUGAACAGACAAGAUCCCAACAUCACCGCCGCUUGUCUUCACCGGUGUUAGCUUCCACCGCCUCCACCAUUAAAAUCUCAGGUUUCGUUUGCUCUCUCUUGUCUGUGUCCUUAGACAUUUGAACAAAACCCUAACCUUUGAUUUCUAUUUCCAGCUCGUCCCUUGAUGAAUUCAGCUUGACUUCUGUGAUUCUCCGGUGACAAAGUUCCUCUUGCACACCAACCUCACAACAUAACCGAACCAGACUUGUCAAAGCUCAAAGGUAUCUCCUUUUGCUUUGACUUCUUCCACUUUGAUAAGUGUCUUAAGCCCCCUUUGUAACCUGUAAUGAAAUUCCUUAGCUAAAUGAUUAAACAUAUCUCCUUGUUUAAUUUCCAGCUCAUGGUGUCGACGUCUCUUCACCACCGUUGCUUCCUUUAGGUAACAGACACAAUUGUUUCUUCAAUUUAUUUAAGAACUUAAACCUGUAAACUAAUAGCUUUAAGUUUACAGCUUUGUUGUAGACGUUUCCUCGCUGCAACCAUACGACUUCAGGCAAUCUUCUGAACUCAUCUUUUACCAAGCUUUAUAAAUUCCUGUCAAACCAUCAGUUUGCUUUUCCUGAAACUGAUUCCUUCUUUUGUGGCCUUUCCGCGAGGUGAACAACUCGACAGCCUUGUCACCUGCAGCCACAUGAGACCUACUAAGGCAGAACCUUGAGGAUCUCCAAGCAUUUCUCGAACUUCUGUCCAGGUUUCUGUAACACGCCGUACCCGUCAAGCUUCAAUACCAACGAGCUGAGUAUUCUUCACCACACCAUAUAAGAAUUCUCCUUGCUUGUUUAUUGACUCUUGCCUUCGAAUCUAUGCACCUUGGAUAUCUGUUAACCUGGCUCUGAUACCACUGGUAGAGAAUCGACCUUGGCUGUUCUUGUAAAAAACGAAUCAAACGCAAAAUAUGUUUGGCAAGUUCUCUCCAAACCGGUGACUAACUGUUUUCACUAUGGAUCGAGUAGAUUACAAGCCUCGCACUAGUUGUGUGUUCUAUGAGCGAUUAUAUGUUUAUGUGUCUAACAAUGGAAGAUUAGACUCCUAUUUAUACAAGAUUGUGUAAUGUGAUUCCUUUAUCCUAAGUUUAUAAGAUUUUAUAAACUUCUUGGAUACGGAUGAAACUAA